CCUACGGGGGGCAGCAGUGGGGAAUAUUGCACAAUGAGGGAAACCCUGAUGCAGCGACGCCGCGUGAGUGAAGAAGUAGUUCGCUAUGUAAAGCUCUAUCAGCAGGGAAGAAACAGACGGUACCUGAGUAAGAAGCCCCGGCUAACUACGUGCCAGCAGCCGCGGUACUACGUAGGGGGCAAGCGUUAUCCGGAUUUACUGGGCGUAAAGGGAGCGUAGACGGCGAAGAAAGACUGAAGUGAAAGCCCGCGGCUUAACCGCGGAACUGCUUUGGAAACUUUUUUUGCUGGAGUACUGGAGAGGUA
rnacentral:rRNA from 1 species